CCUCUAUCACAAACGAAGAUGCUUCAAGAAGCAUAAUGUAGUGUGGCCCUGCAAUGCAUAACCCAUAAAAGCAAUGUUUGCAGAUCCUGUCUCUUUAAAACCCAUUGUAUUGUACUGUCACUCAUUCCUCUUUUUCUUCUCCACGAAAAACCCUAGCCGCUUCUCUUCUCUUCUCACCGUUCAAUCAAAUCAACCACUCCCCAACAAAAAUGGUUACCUUUUCGUUAUCAUCUCUUCCUUCUAAAAUAUUUCAUUGAAUCUGACUUGAAUGUUCUUCUUCAAGUUUUCUUCAUGCUUUCUUUCUUUCUUUCAAUCAACGACUCCCCAACAAAAAAUGGUUGCCUUUGGCCGAUGCACAACUCACAACUACAAGCAGCUCAAAAAGGUGCUAAUGAAGGUUCAUUUGUAUGAGAAUCUCUUAAAUGGGUGUGAGGUGGUUGAAUCACAGUAAGACUAUCACUUUCUAAGUUGCAGAAUUAAAAUAAUCUUGAAGGAAUUCCCCUGCAAUCAGAAAGCAGCCACAAAGCUUCAAUGCAGCUUGUCCGUUCAAACAAACCGAGGCUUCUUUUGGGUUGAUGGGUCCUCUUGGUUAAGACCUUUCUCAAGCUCUUCAUAAUCUUCAUCCUGAAAUUCUUCCUGCUUCUUAAUCUUCCUCCUCAUUACAUGCUGCUGCCAAAUAUUUUGGAGCUCUUCAAUUCUAACUGGUUUUACCAAAUAAUCUGAAGCUCCCAAUUUAAUUGCUUUCAUCACCAGCAUUCUGUCACUAUCUCCCGACAACACUGAAGGUGUCAAUACCAUGGUACAUUACUUGUUCUCUUUCUUUUCUUUUCUUUUUUUCUUCUCGUCUCUUUUCUAUUUUUCUGAAAAUGUUGAGGAUGUGACUUUUCGAUGGUAUGCUGAUGUUUCUUUCGGUCUAAAAUCCUAAUUAAAAAUGUUUUUUAAUUUCUAUAUUUUUUUCUUAUAUUGACUAUGUGGGUUUCCAAUUGUGUUUUUCUGUUGGCCUAGACAUAUUUUUGGUAUAAUAACAGAUUCAGUUUGUUUCUGCGAGAACGUAUUCUCUUAAAUAAGCUUCUUCUUUACAUAUAUAUAUAUAUAUAUAUAUAUAUUUAAAUUUUUUAGUUUUUUUAGUUGGUGUUUCAUGUAAAAAAAACUAACAUAGAAUAUUUAUUGCUUUAAGUCGGAGAAAUAUAUAUAAUCCAUUAAUACUGUAUAUCUAUGUUUCUUUCUUUCUUUCAUUUUUGAUGUGGGUUUUCAAUUGGAAUAAUAACAGAUAUUUUUUCUUAUGUCUAGUUCUUUCUGUCAGCUUUUUUCAGUUUGAUUUUUUAUGUAAAAAAAUCUUCUAUUUAUUUCUUUAACUCACUUGUAUACUCCUGUAUAUAUUUGUGUGAAAUUAGUAUCACUGAAGUUUAAUCAUUUUCCCGUCAAAUAAUUUUUUUUCUACAUAUCUACUCAAUGCUAAUAUUAGUCAAUUGAAUUAUUUAUAAUUUUUUUCUUAAUUCUUUGACGUUUUUCCUGAAACAUUGUGUUACCACGGUCUGUACCUUCUGUUGGUGAAAAAUUGAAAAUAAUGAGGAUGUGGCUUUUCCAUUGGGUGUUUUUGUUUCUUUUAGUCUAGAUGUAUUAUUAUUGGAAUAAAAACAUAUUCCUUUUUUUUCCAUUUUCUCGGUAAAUUUAAUUUUUUCAAGUUGAUUCUUUUACUUUCUUCUGUUUGGUUUUUAAAGUAACAAAUCUUUUAUUGAUUUCUUUGUUACACAGCUGUAUAUAUUUGUGUGAAAUAUCAAUGAAGUUUAUUCAUUUUCCCGUCAAAUAUCUUAUUUGUUUACAUUGUCUUGUCAAUGUGACUCUUCAUCCAUAAUUUUUUUUUUUAACUUUUUAUCUUUCUUUGAUAUUGUUUGCGAAACGUUGUGUUCAAUUAAAUUACUGGCUUCAAAUGCUGGAUGUUACUAGCUUCCUAUGAUUGGAAAUCAUUUAAUGAACUUUUUAUAGGUUUUGUAUUAUGCUUGUAUUUGCAAUAUUUCAUUUUGUUCGUAAAGAAUAAAAUUUAUUGUAAUUAUUUAUUUUGUAGUAAGCACGACUAUAAAGGCAAUGACGGCUAUAAUGUUGUUGAGAGAAAACAAGUUUGACGUGAUCUCCACAUGCCUAAAAUGGGUGAACUCGUGCUGCUUGAGCUCGUUCGACUUUGGAUGGACAUACCUAUUAUAUGUUUGUGAUAGUUUUAUGUGAUCUUCAACCGUUCUUAUUAUUAUUAUUAUUUUUAAUUUUGAGGUUUUGAUUUUAUUGUUUUCUUUCUGUAUAAUUUAAGAAUAUUUUCUCGAGGUAUUAUGUAUUGGGGCUUCAUUUUGUUGCUUGAUGAUCCUUUAACAUUAUUUAAUUUUUUAUUUCAGUGUUAUCUGGAGAUAGCGAUAGAAAGUUGGUGAUGAAAGGAAUUAGUCUGGGAGCUUGUUUGGUGAAACAAGUUAGAAUUGAAGAGAUCCAAAAUAUAUAGCAGCAUGUAAUGAGGAAGAAGAUUAAGAACAUGAAGAAGAUCAGGAUGAAUAUUAUGAAGAGCCUAAGAAAGGUCAUAACAAAGAGGACUCAUCAAACCAAAAGAAGCCUCGGAUUGUGUUUGGAUGGUCCAGCUGCAUCGGUGGUGUUUUGUGGCUGCUGUUAAUAAAUUAGGUGUUGACAAUAAGUUAUUCUCUCUUUCUCUACAAUGCUUAAUUGUUAUUAAUUGCUACAAUUGGUCAAUCAAUCGAUGUUUCAGCUUUAUUUUAGCAAUACUUUUAUUAAAUAUUUGAGUAGAAACAUAGUAGUUAAUUGCGCUGUAAUAGUGAUGUCAGUCGGGUUGUACGGUCUUUCUGUGUCACUUUUUGUCAUUACAAGAUUUAGUAUCCUGUCAAUUAUGCA